UCCGGUUUGUCACCGGCAGUCAUCCUAGAGUGCCCAGCUUCACCUGCUGGCAACUAAGAUCAAGGGUUGCGCUCGUUGCGGGACUUAACCCAACAUCUCACGACACGAGCUGACGACAACCAUGCACCACCUGUCUCCCCUGGCCCGAAGGCAAGGUCUAUCUCUAGACCGGUCAGGGGGAUGUCAAGACCUGGUAAGGUUCUUCGCGUUGCUUCGAAUUAAACCACAUACUCCACUGCUUGUGCGGGUCCCCGUCAAUUCCUUUGAGUUUUAAUCUUGCGACCGUACUCCCCAGGCGGUCGACUUCACGCGUUAGCUGCGGUACUAAGGAAGUCUCCUUCCCCAACACCUAGUCGACAUCGUUUAGGGCGUGGACUAC
rnacentral:misc_RNA from 1 species